CAGCAGCCGCGGUAAAACGAAGGGGGCUAGCGUUGUUCGGAAUUACUGGGCGUAAAGGGCGCGUAGGCGGCCAUUCAAGUUAGAUGUGAAAGCCCUGGGCUCAACCUAGGAAUUGCAUUUGAUACUGUUUGGCUUGAGUUCGGGAGAGGUGAGUGGAAUUCCCAGUGUAGAGGUGAAAUUCGUAGACAUUGGGAAGAACACCAGUGGCGAAGGCGGCUCACUGGACCGACACUGACGCUGAGGCGCGAAAACGUGGGGAGCAAACAGGAUUAGAUACCCCCGUAGUCCCUGUCUCUUAUAC
rnacentral:rRNA from 1 species